UCCUAGCCCCGAUAGGAGUGGAAAUCCUUUUGUGCCGGGGUUCGGCAUAAAAGAUUGCAGCGGAUAGCGGGAAAUAGC
rnacentral:sRNA from 2 species